GCGCCAUUUUUAUAAGCUCAGGUGUCGUCACAGACGCUGGCUACCGUGGGAAUCCUAUGGCGCUGAUCCUAAAAUGUUAUCAAUAUUUGUUAUUAAGCUGUGUGUUAAAAUUA